ensembl:snoRNA U8 U8 small nucleolar RNA
ACAUAAGAAGUAGGGUAAUCCUUACGUGUCUUUUUCUUGGAGGGCAGUUUGGAACAUGUUGAUUGGAAGUCUCAUGAUACAUGAUUAACAUCUGUGCAUAAUCAAGACUUGCAACACCCUGAUUGCUCCUAUCUUAA